rnacentral:rRNA from 1 species
GACAGAGGGUGCAAACGUUGUUCGGAAUUACUGGGCGUAAAGCGCGUGUAGGCUGCUCCGCAAGUCGGAUGUGAAAGCCCUGGGCUCAACCUAGGAAGUGCAUUCGAUACUGCGGAGCUGGAGUCCUGGAGAGGAAGGCGGAAUUCUCGGUGUAGAGGUGAAAUUCGUAGAUAUCUGGAGGAACACCGGUGGCGAAGGCGGCAUCCUGGACCAACACUGACACUGAGGAGCGAAAGCCAGGGGAGCAAACGGG